GCGUUGAGGGAACUUACAACAGAGGAUCUUUUGAAAAAGCUGGUGGAAGCAGACAUUAAUAUAACAUCGGGGGAAGCGCAGAAAUUUAGAGCAGGACAUGAUCCGAGUCAGACUUGGAGCAGAAGAUCCGUCCGUGGCCGAGCAGGACAUGAUCCGAGUCAGACUUGGAGCAGAAGAUCCGUCCGUGGC